rnacentral:rRNA from 1 species
UGCAAGUACACUGAAAAUAAGGAUCGGCUAACUCCGUGCCAGCAGCCGCGGUAAUACGGAGGAUCCGAGCGUUAUCCGGAUUUAUUGGGUUUAAAGGGUGCGCAGGCGGCGCUUUAAGUCAGCGGUUAAAUAGUGAGGCUCAACCUCAUCCCGCCGUUGAUACUGGAGCGCUUGAUUGCGGUCGAGGUUGGCGGAAUUCGUCGUGUAGCGGUGAAAUGCAUAGAUAUGACGAAGAACACCGAUUGCGUAGGCAGCUGACCAGGCCGUAAAUGACGCUCAUGCACGAAAGUGCGGGGAUCGAACAGGAUUAGAUACCCUG